GUGCUUUUCAGAGGCACUGUUAAUGCUUGUGAUUUGUCACUGUGGAAUUGCUCCUCUGAAUGUCCUUUACUUAAAUGCACAGGGAAACAAAUAGAUCUCUUUUGUGUCUGGUCAUAGGAGCAUUGUGCAUCCCAUACUGCGCUUUGCAGCUCAUUUCACCUUCCCAGUGCAGCCUCUGUGAAAUUUCCUCAGACUUGUGACCUCUCUAACUGGGAGCCACUCCCAUCCCCUGUGGCAGUUCCAGGACCUGCUGCACUGGAUAUGGACUUUGUUCUCCACCUCCCUCCUCUCAAAACAGUGGAGAUUUUUGUCCUUUGCCCAAAUGGUGUCCUGCAGACCCUCUACUACCAAGUUCUGAGCUCUGCAACAUAAUUGAAACAUCAAAAGGAAUUCAAGCUCACUUGGUCAUAGUCUGGACAUCACAUUUUUAUAGGAACAAAGGAAGAUGUGGUAUGCCCUUCACAUGUGCUCAUAUUAAAAAUUUACUAGAUGGUUACGACUAAAAGGAAAAGAAGUUCCUUUGAAUGAAGGAAAGUCACCUUUUCCUGCAGAUAAAUUUUAGACCAUCACUCACUGAGUUUUCAGCAAGUGGAUCAUAUUGCCUUUUCUUUUUCAACUCCUUAUAUAAAAUGGUGAGUGGUUUUUAUACUCAAAAUUUUUAAUAUAUUUUUUAAUCUCAUGUACUCUCACAUGAAAUAAUAUGAAAGCUGCAAAAGCAUUAAUACAUUUGUCAAUGUUCUAGCAAAGUCUCUGAUCUCCCAGCUUUGCUUAACUACCUUUUUUUUUUUUUUUCAAUUUACAAAAAUAUUUCAUUAGACUCUUUUCACUAUGGCUUUUUGCAUUGUGAUCAAUGUCAGUAGACAAU
rnacentral:lncRNA from 1 species